ACUCCCGUAGCACAGUCGGUUAGAGCGUCGUACUUAUAUUGCGAAGGUCGGGGGUUCGAGUCCCCCCGGGAGCA
rnacentral:tRNA from 1 species